rnacentral:misc_RNA from 1 species
UACGUAGGGUGCAGGCGUUAAUCGGAAUUACUGGGCGUAAAGCGUGCGCAGGCGGUUCGCUAAAACAGGUGUGAAAUCCCCGGGCUUAACCUGGGAACUGCGCUUGUUACUGGCGAGCUUGAGUGCGGCAGAGGGGGGUGGAAUUCCACGUGUAGCAGUGAAAUGCGUAGAGAUGUGGAGGAACACCGAUGGCGAAGGCAGCCCCCUGGGAUAACACUGACGCUCAUGCACGAAAGCGUGGGGAGCAAACAGG